UACGUAGGGGGCAGGCGUUGUCCGGAAUUACUGGGCGUAAAGCGUGCGUAGGCGGUUCGCUGUGUCCGAUGUGAAAGCCCCGGGCUUAACCUGGGAAUGGCAUUGGAAACUGGCGGGCUUGAGUGCGGCAGAGGGGGGUGGAAUUCCGCGUGUAGCGGUGAAAUGCGCAGAUAUCAGGAGGAACACCGGUGGCGAAGGCGGGUCUCUGGGCCGGUACUGACGCUAAGGAGCGAAAGCGUGGGGAGCGAACAGG
rnacentral:rRNA from 1 species